GCCAUGGCUGUGUGUUUGGCUGUUGGUGCCAUGUUUCCUGCAUAUGGGAUCACAGCUGUAGGCUGAGACGCGCUGCAUUUUUGCCACCACGCACCUUUACCUCUCCCAAGGCCUUCCUGUCAAUCACUUUACAAAUAAAUCCUCACAGCGGGCACUAUCGCUAAAGUACCCAGACACGUGUGCAGUGUGACUGAGAUGCAUGCGCAGAUUGCUGAUAAUCGGACAAGUGUAAAAACAUCGGCAUAGCGUACAACUGAAUCAGGCCAGCAACAUGUCACUGAGCUGAUGAGAGGAACGGUCAAUGAUCUCUGAUAAAUCAAAUGAUCCAGAUUUGGAUUUUGCAGGUGGAUUGGGAGAACGUUCUGCAUCCCCAUCCUCUGGGAAGCCUAUUAGAGGAGCCAUGUAAAGUAAAUCCGAGCUGGAGAGCUGAGAUGGUCGGAAGCGGUUACAGUUGCAGAAAGUAAUUGCUGGGAAGAUCAUGGUGUUGGCAUCCAUCUCAUCGACUACGGUAACAUGUGGGGAUGAUCUAUAGUAAGCCACACGCUCCCAUACCUGGAACAGGAAGAGAAAAAGGGAGAGGAGAAAGGCUCCGGCCCAAAUAGUACGUCGAACUCCCCAGGGUCCUUCAGUGAUGAUGUGAUUCAGUCCAUGGAGGGUGCAGCUGCUGGCAAAGGCAGAAGCCUCUAUUGCGCCAUGCUCCUCAACUAAGUUUAUCUGUUCGGAUUCCACUUCAGCCUCUCUCUUAUUCUUAGGCUCUUUGUCUGUAGACACAGACAAUGUACAAAAUAUCUGAAUUGGCAUUCUUUAGCUGUGGGUAUGUAAGAAACCGUUGUCCCACCGUGGAAAAAAUAAAUCACACUGCUAUUAGAGCCGUAGAAAAGA